rnacentral:rRNA from 1 species
UACGGAGGGGGCUAGCGUUGUUCGGAAUUACUGGGGCGUAAAGCGCACGUAGGCGGCUUUGUAAGUUAGAGGUGAAAGCCCAGGGCUUAACCCUGGAAUUGCCUUUAAGACUGCAUCGCUAGAAUCGUGGAGAGGUGAGUGGAAUUCCGGAAGUGUAGAGGUGAAAUUCGUAGAUAUUCGGAAGAACACCAGUGGCGAAGGCGACUCACUGGACA